rnacentral:rRNA from 1 species
GCCAGACUCCUACGGGAGGCAGCAGUGGGGAAUAUUGCACAAUGGGGGAAACCCUGAUGCAGCGACGCCGCGUGAGUGAAGAAGUAUCUCGGUACGUAAAGCUCUAUCAGCAGGGAAGAAAAAAAGUCCUUCGGACUUUGGACGGUACCUGAUUAAGAAGCCCCGGCUAACUACGUGCCAGCAGCCGCGGUAAUACGUAGGGGGCAAGCGUUAUCCGGAUUUACUGGGUGUAAAGGGAGCGUAGACGGCAUGGCAAGUCAGAUGUGAAAGCCCGGGGCUCAACCCCGGGACUGCAUUUGAAACUGUCAGGCUGGAGUGCAGGAGAGGUAAGUGGAAUUCCUAGUGUAGCGGUGAAAUGCGUAGAUAUUAGGAGGAACACCAGUGGCGAAGGCGGUCUGCUGGACAGCAACUGACGGUGAGGCGCGAAAGCGUGGGGAGCAAACAGGAUUAGAUACCCUCGUA